GCCCGAGAAGGGAUGGAGCCUGAAGA
rnacentral:piRNA from 1 species